GACUCCUACGGGAGGCAGCAGUGGGGAAUCUUGCGCAAUGCGCGAAAGCGUGACGCAGCAACGCCGCGUGGGGGAAGAAGGCUUUCGGGUUGUAAACCCCUUUCAGUUGGGACGAAGCUUCGCCGGUUAAUAGCCGGCCGGAGUGACGGUACCUUCACAAGCCCCACCGGCUAACUACGUGCCAGCAGCCGCGGUAAUACGUAGGGUGCAAGCGUUGUCCGGAAUUAUUGGGCGUAAAGAGCGUGUAGGCGGCCCGACAAGUCCGCUGUGAAAGUUCAGGGCUCAACCCUGGAAUGCCGGUGGAUACUGUCGGGCUAGAGUCCGGAAGGGGCGAGUGGAAUUCCUGGUGUAGCGGUGAAAUGCGCAGAUAUCAGGAGGAACACCAAUGGCGAAGGCAGCUCGCUGGGACGUGACUGACGCUGAGACGCGAAAGCGUGGGGAGCAAACGGGAUUAGAUACCCUGGUAGUCCACGCUGUAAACGAUGACAACUAGAUGUGGGGGGUGUCGACUCCCCCCGUGUCGAAGCUAACGC
rnacentral:rRNA from 1 species